rnacentral:lncRNA from 1 species
AACUAAAAGCAAUUCCAAACAAACUGUGCUCAGUGGAAGUUUCCCUCAGGUUGGAACUCCAUUUGUUAAGGUCUUGUAGUGGGACUUUGUUUCCAGCUCUCUCUACCUUAAUGUCUUACCUUGACCCAGUGUUCGUGUCCUCUGGAGGGCACACCACCCUCCUGCUCUUUCUGCCAAGAUAACUUCUUCCUUAGAGCAGGGCGGCCCGAGCCUAGGGUGAGAGCAGCAGUGCAGGGCCUCUUGCUGCGGCCUGCCAUCCCCGCACACCCUGACACUCAGGGUCCUCUGUCCCAGUUAACGCUUGUUCUUUCCUCCUGGCUUUCAGCUCCACUUCCCUCCCCAGUUGGCAGCCCCUUGGGAAAGGAACCGGAAUCUUCCCCAGAAUCUGGGCGGACCUCUGGGUGGGGUCACCAUGACCAGUAAUGCAGGGAGCUAGGAAGGGCCCCGGGACAGUGCUUUGCUUUCUGACCACAGACCACUCCUCCAUCUGGGUCCCAUGGCUGGCAGGUAUGGCCAGGGGUCCCAGCCACAGCAGCACACCGGGCCACCAGUGGGCGACCUUCUGUGCAGGCAGCUACACUUGGCGGACACGGGGCCAUGCUGGCCUGGGUGACUGGGACAGCACCCUGUCCAUGCUCCUGUUCGAGAGCAGGGCCCCUGAGUCCAGACCAGGGUAGGAAUAAGCCAAGGCCGAGGCUGUAUACUGCCUCCACUGGUGCAGCUGAGCUCUCGGUCUAAGGUCAAGACAGGUGGAGAGUACAGAGCCGCAUGGGGUGACUUCAUGGUGACGCAGCUGCAGAAGCAGCAGAGACCACCUUUCCUGCAUCCUGACACAACCUGGUUGAAUUCCCUUCAAUAAGUACAGUCUUGAAGACAAGCUGAGUUUGGGGAGGCGAGCCGGGGAGACCUGCAAGGUGACUUCAGUGUGUGGUGAGUGGCCUGGCCCCGUCAGCGGACCACAUCCGCAGCCCUAGGCUUGAGACGUGAGGUGGCGGCUUCAUCUGCUUCCAAGAACUUGAGUCUGAAGGGAUGGCAGGAGAGCGCACUUGGCGGCACAGUUCUGGAAGGGGCCAGAGCACCGGUGCCCAGCAGAGACGCCGGAAGCCCUAGCCAGCAGGCUGUCAAAGGUCACGAAGGAUCAGGAAGAGAAGGCCAUCCUCGGGCCGGAAGCACGUGCUGGGCAGACGCUAGGUCCGGGUGGACGCCAAAGUGGGGAGGCCCGCUCCUCCCCACAGCUUUCAGCCUAUCUGUGGGUUCGUCACCCCCGGCAGGGAUGGGGGUCGUGUCACGGUGUCUAGUCCUGAAUUCCAGUGUUGACUAUGACACGUGACUGCCCAGCGGGACAGUUUCUAACAGCCCUGAAGCCCUUGAACGGCGUGUGGCUCCCCUCGGAGGCCGCCCUGGGAACUGCAUUUCACUGGGAUGAUGUCUCCAGAGAUGAGGGGUUUCACCACCUGGGGGAAAGUCGGGCUGAUUCUGGAGGAGCGUUUACAAGAGGAAACAGCUCCAGGACUCAGGGCGAGGGUGCCCUGGCACGAGGCUCUGGGACGCCAUGGCCUGGAUGGAGCCAGAGGACAGUGUGACCUCCACACCCCGGGGAGGGGGCUCUGGGAGCACAGUCCCCACGCGCCCAGCAGGCGGUGCUCAGGACCUUGGAAUCUUCAGGCCGUGGCACCAGGGGUCCCGUCAGGUCUCCCUGGACUGCGCAUGUGUAUGUUGGGAGGGGGGCUGCUGCGGCCUAACCUUAAUCUCAGGAUGACAGGUGGAACCAGAGCCAGCGGGAGCCUGGCAGGGAUGGGCUUGGGCUUGGACUCCAGAGGCUGCAGAAGGGUGGGUAGGAGACCCCACGGGGAGGGUCUCACUACUGGGUUCCUAAACCGGACCCUCCCUCGACUCAUGCCUUAGUCUGUAAGAGCAACCCCUGCCUUUUUUCCUCUCCAAGUCUGAAAAAUCCAUCAGUAUCAGAUUCCUACAGCGGUUACCUUUCCCUCGUGGUGUCGCUCUUCUCUCUUUGGUCCGUGCUGUAAAUUGGUAGUUACUUCUAGAGGCCUCGCUAGACUCAGACGACACGCCUUUGGUGAGAAUUCUUUAAAAAAUGAGACUCGGGCUUCCCUGGUGGUGCAGUGGUUGAGAGUCCGCCUGCCGAUGCAGGGGACGUGGGUUCGUGCCCCAGUCUGGGAGGAUCCCAUAUGCCGCGGAGCGGCUGGGCCCGUGAGCCAUGGCCGCUGGGCCUGCGCGUCCGGAGCCUGAGCUCCGCGACGGGAGAGGCCACAGCAGUGAGAGGCCCGCGUACCAC